rnacentral:tRNA from 69 species
CCCUAGCCUUCCAAGCUAACGAUGCGGGUUCGAUUCCCGCUACCCGCU